rnacentral:tRNA from 1 species
GGAGGGUAUAGCUCAGUGGUAGAGUACAUGCUUAGCAUGCAUGAGGUCCUGGGUUCAAUCCCCAGUACCUCCA